GGUAUAGCUCAGUUGGUAGAGUAUGUGCCUCUCAACACAAGGCCCUGGGUUCAAUCCCCAGCACCA
rnacentral:tRNA from 1 species